UGGCAUGAUCUCAGCUCACUGCAACCUCUGCCUCCCGGGUUCAAGCAAUUCUCCUGCCUCAACCUCCCAGGUAGCUGAGAUGACAGGCACACACCACCACGUCUGGCUAAUUUUUUGUAUUUUAGUAGAGAUGGGGUUUCACCUUGUUGGCCAGGGUGGUCUUGAACUCCUGACCUCAUGAUCUGCCAACCUCGGCUUCCCAAAGUGCUGGGAUUACAGGCGUGAGCCACCACACCCAGCAGUUUCCAGGUAUUUUCAGCGGUCUCACUACAUUUCCGAAAGCAAUUUUAAAUAUAAACCAUUUUUUUGGCCAGGCGCAGUGGCUCACACCUGUAAUCCCAGCACUCUGGGAGGCCAAGGCAGGUGGAUUACUUGACGUCAGGAGUUAGGGACUAACUACCCUGGCCUAAAUGACAAAACCCUGUCUCUACUAAAAAUAAUGAAAAUUAGCCAGGCAUCAUAGUGGGCACCUAUAGUCCCAGCUGCUCAGGAGGCUAAGGCAGGAGGAUUGUUUGGACCUGGGAGGCGGAGUUUGCAGUAAGCCGAGAUUGUACCACUGCACUCCAGCCUGGGAGACAGAGUGAGACUCUGUAUAAAAA
rnacentral:lncRNA from 1 species